CAGCACAUUGAGUGUGCAAUAAGGGGAGAAAAUACUCUUGACAAGAUGUAUACGAACAUUAGACGGGCAUAUGAGGCGCACCUCGGUGGUUGAGAUCAUGUGUCCCUGCUUCUGACACCAGUGUACACACCCCUCAGUAAACAAGGCCAGCUACAAACAUGGAUGGUUACGGUGUGGCCUGAGGGAGCCUCUCAGCAGUUUCAGGACUGUUUCUAGGAGACCGAUUGGAAUAUGUUCGACCAUCAAGAUCUAGAAACUUCUACAUCAACGGUCUUAGAUUCGGCACAGGAAACGCACCAGGGAAAGGUAUGUUAAGUUGUAUCCGAAUAGGAAGCCCUGGAUGACGGGAGAAGUUAGGAGAUUCUUGAAGGCCAGAAACUCUGCUUUUAGAACUGGGGACUGGGUACCAUAUGGUAUAGAAAGAGCGAACUUGAAGAGGGGUAUCAGGAAAGCAAAGGCUACUUGCAUGGCAAUUUGCAAGUAGAAAGCCAUGGUGUUUCUGGGAGCAGCUGGGGCCUCCGGAAAAAACAAAAUGGCAUUCCCGCCUUUUUCAGAAACACGCCUUCUCCUGACCCUGCCGCCUCCGUGGGCUCCUCCUGGGCCUGCCUGGCAUGGGGGGGGGGGAGCCAGCACCCCCCAAACAAUGGGGGGAAAGAGGAACAGGAAGAGAAGGAAGGAGAAAUGAAGGAGAAGCUGGGAGGGGAGCAGCCAUGAGGGAAACUCAGGGGGAAAACUCCCUCAUGAAACAGGGCGAAGGAGAGGAGGAGGCCCAGGGGAAUCUGAAAUGUGAUUGGCCAGCUACCCAAUGGAGAGGCCUCUGAUUGGUCCAGCCCUGCUCUGGGGUGGGAAAUGGGUCUCCUGCCUCCAUGUGGUUCUGGGAGCCCAGGAGAAACUGGUUUUCUGGCAGGAAACACGGGGAAAGGAUGGCAGGGGUCCCUCUUGCUCUGAACUGGGAAGAGUCCCAGAGGGAGGGCCCGCCCCCCUGAGCACCAUGCGCCCCCCUCCUGCCCCCCCCCGGGUCGCGUGUGCGUUUCCUUCCUCGCCUGGGACUCUUCCUCCUCCCGGCUGGGAAGCCCCCCUCCCUCCCUCCCCCCCGCUGAGCUGGAGGGUGUUCCUUGGGGGGUGUCUUGAGGGAGCCAUUUCUGAGCCCAAGGCACCUCCCGCCACUAGGCAGCCUUCGCCUCUUCUCCCUCCCAGCCUUUCCUUGGGAUCCAGGAGCCUCGAUGUUGGGGGAGGGGGAGAGCCCAGCUAACCCCCCCAUGGACCCCCCCCCGUCUCCCUUGCAGUUAGUCUGGUUGGAUGUGGGCUCCUUGGGGCAGAGGGAGGGAAGGGGGGCAGCCCCUAGAGCGCAGGCGCAGAAGCAGGAAAACUGAAGGCAGGGAGAGGGAGGGGAGGACUCGGCUUGUCAAGGGUUAAAAGGAGCAGAGCGGGAUUCCUAGAGAGGGCAGGAAGUGAAGGGGGAGUGAAGGUCCUCCAGGGCUAAAUCCCCCCUCCCCCUCCCUUCCUGCUUUCUUCUCUCUCCUUUGCAAAAGCCCCUCCUGGACUCGGGUGAGUCUCCUCUCUCCUCCCCCUGAGGGUGCAAUGGGGAGAAGGGGGUCCCAGGGGGGCAGGGAGGGGGCAUGGGGGUCCCUGCUCAGAUCAUGCCUGGGGGGGGGAGACCCCCAAGUCGGGGAGCAGAGGGUCCUCCCUUGUCCUCUCUGCCAAGCCAGGGAGGGGCCAGUUCGCAGGAAAUAUGCAGCUCUGCUCUUCCUUGGGAUCCAGAUGCUGCCUUCCUUUUGGGGGGAGGGGGCUUUGGGUCAAGGAAAUAAACCCCCUUCAGAUGGAGGGAAAAGUCACAUUUAAGAACAGAGGCUGCAGCCAGACGGGAACAUUCCCACGUGGGGGGAGCACAGGGAGAAGAAAAGCCCGUCUGCAUCUGCAGCACCACUGCAUCUCCAGACCACUUCCUGUGUCCCAGAUGCAACAAUAUUAUAUUAUACAACAUAAUAUUACUACUAAUAAUAAUAAUAAUAAUUUAUUUGUACCCCGCCCAUCUGGCCGGGUUUCCCCAGCCACUCUGGGCGGCUUCCACAAAAACGAAAAAUACACUAUUAUGUCAUACAUUUAAAACUUCCCUGAGCAGGGCUGCCUUAAGAUGUCUUCUGAAUGUCAGGUAGUUGUUUAUGUCUCUCCCCUGUCGCUCUCCACACCCAGGGCUGGCGCUGUGACCUUCCAACAACUGGAUCUCACUCCCAAAGACACACUCUUCCAUGGUCUCCCAAGACAGAUGACUGCCAACCAGCCAACCAUUCCCUCCCCUCACAAUGCACAAUUCCCUCCCCUCCCCCUCCUGGUGCCCCUGGAAGUUGGCUUGAGGGCAUUGGGAGGGUCCAACCCACCAGAUGAAGGGAGAGGAGGUCCUUCCAUCUGGAAAAUGGGAAUGCUUGCAAAAAUUUACUUGAAGAUGAGUGCUGUGUAGAUAAUAAAAUAUUAUUUUGUGGAAUUCCCCCAUUUACACAAAGAUUAAAACCCAUCAUUUAAAUACACAACAAAAUUGUUACAGACAAGAACAGAGCAAUGUGUAGAAGAUCUGGCCAUGAUCUUCGUUUUUUUGAUGCUGAGCUUCAGACCAUAUUUUGCGCUCUCCUCUUUCACCCUCAUUAAAAGGUUCUUUAAUUCCUCCUCACUUUCUGCCAUCAAGGUUGUGUCAUCUGCAUAUCUGAGGUUGUUGAUAUUUCUUCCGGCAAUCUUAAUUCCGGCUAGGGAUUCAUCCAGCCCAGCCUUUCGCAUGAUGAAUUCUGCGUAUAAGUUAACUAAGCAGGGAGACAAUAUACAGCCUUGUCGUAUUCCUUUCCCAAAUUUGAAAGCUAUUGCCACAGCAUCCUCCAUGGAUCUCUUUGCCUUGUACGCCAAAGGCUACUUGCAUGGCAAUUAAAGAAAAAAUAAGAAGAGAGAGUAAUAGAGAAAUGAAAAAUAAUUGAAGAUC
rnacentral:lncRNA from 1 species